CUACCCCUUCUUCUUCUUCCACACCGUGCACCCCCCCUGUGAAAACCCUAGUCGUCGAACACCCAACAACCGUUUUCCGUUGAACCUAACGCCGAUGAGCAGUCGGUGCCGAAGCCUCCUCAUUGUGCUGUCGGUCAGACGUGAAGCCCAGCCACACGCCAGCUUCAUUCGCCGUCGUCGGUCAGACCUGUUGGAGUCGCGCCGGCCUUCACGCACAAGCAAGCCCAACCGAACGAUGCCGCCACUUCGAGCUUCAACUCCUGCCACUGCCUUCAUGCCUAGCAGCCGCACCUUUUCUUCCAGCAGCCACUCGGCGCUACCCAGUCCUAUUUGGUUGAGGCCGAGCCGCUCGUCCAACCCACCGGCCGAGCCCAGCCAUCGAUCUCCGCCGGUCACUACCCUCCUUCGUGGUCAUUCAUCAGAUUUCUGCUAGUGUUGAUCCAAGAUUGGAGUACUUCAGAGUGCGCAACGUGUUGCCUAGCGGAUUCGAGUUUGUUCGGCAAGUAGUUUGGUAAAGAUGCACCGGCGAUGGACAAGCGGAAUUCAUGAUCGAGCCACUGAGACUAGUUUCAUGCUUCCACUCAUGAGAUUUAGACUUCUUUUUAUGUUUUGCUUAGCUUUCAGUAUUGAUGUUUAAAACUUACUAUUAAGAAUCGCUUUCAGAUUUAUUUAUUAUCAUUUAUGAUUUAUGGGUACCCUACCGUUAUUUUUAAUAUUUGAAUUUAAAUGGAAAGUCUU